UAACCGUGAAUUCGUUGAUAAAUAAAAGA
rnacentral:piRNA from 1 species